AGGUAAUUAGUUUAAGAAAAAUAUUUGAUUUCGGCUCAAAAGACUACAGUUAAAAUCUGUAAUAACCUU
rnacentral:tRNA from 1 species